AUUCGUCAGCACAGUCACAAAGAAAAAAUACAACAUAUUCAUAACAUCAAAUUGCAAAACGCAAAAUUGCAUUUAUGUUCUAACGUGUGGAACUUGCAAAAUACAAUAUGUUGGUGAAACAGAAACACCAUUUAACAUCCGACUAAAUAACCAUCGGUCAUUUUAUACAAAAGAAAGGAACUGCCCAAUUACAAGACACCUUUUAAGAGCAGGACAUGAUUUUGAAAACGUCACAUUUCAAAUCAUUGAGAAAAA
rnacentral:lncRNA from 1 species